rnacentral:rRNA from 1 species
CCAGAGAAAAAGGCUCAGAUUGAACGCUGGCGGCAGGCCUAACACAUGCAAGUCGACGACAACAUUGAACCUUCAAAAAAUUUGUUGGGCAAAAAAAGCGGCGGAAAAAAUGGCUAAUGCUUGGGAAUAUGCCUUAUGGUGGGGGACAACAGUUGGAAACGACUGCUAAUACAAAAUGAUGUCUACGGGCCAAAGUAAAAAGACCUUCUAAAAUCACGCCAUAAGAUUAGAAACCCCGAUUAGCUAGUUGGUGAGGUAAUGGCUCACCAAGAAAACGAUCCCUAGCUGGUUAGAGAGGAUGAUCAGCAAAACUGGGACUGAGACACGGCCCAGACUCCUACGGGAGGAAAACCUGGGGAAUAUUGCACAAUGAAAACAAGCCUGAUGCAGCCAUGCCGCGUGUGUGAAGAACCCCUUCGGGUUGUAAAGCACUCCCAGUAAGGAGGAAAAAUUAAGUGUUAAUAGCGCUUAAAGACGUUACUUACAGAAGAAGCACCGGCUAACUCCGUGCCAGAAAAACGGUAAUACCGGAGGGUGUGAGCGUUAAUCGGAAUUACUGGGCGUAAAGCGUACGCAGCGGUUUGUUAUUCGAGAUGUGAAAGCCCCGGGCUCAACCUGGGAACUGCAUUUCGAACUGGCAAACUAGAGGGUGAUAGAGGGUGGUAGAAUUUCAGGUGAGCGGUGAAAUGCGUAGAGAUCUGAAGGAUAACCGAUGGCGAAGGCAGCCACCUGGGUCAACACUGACGCUCAUGUACGAAAGCGUGGGAGGCAAACAGGAUUAGAUACCCUGGUAGUCCACGCCGUAAACGAUGUCUACUAGAAGCUCCCUUCCUCGGAACUGUUUUUCAAAGCUAACGCAUUAAGUAGACCGAAAAGGAGUACAAACAAGGUUAAAACUCAAAUGAAUUGACGGGAAAAAGCACAAGCGGUGGAGCAUGUGGUUCCCUUCGAUGCAACGAAAAGAACCUUACCUACACUUGACAUACAGAGAACUUACCAGAGACCCUUUGGUGCCUUCGGGAACUCUGAUACAGGUGCUGCAUGGCUAAAACAGCUCGUGUUCCGAUGUUGGGUUAAGUCCCGCAACGAGCGCAAAAAAAUAUCCUUAGUUGCCAGCGAUUAAGUCGGGAACUCUAAGGAGACUGCCGGUGAUAAACCGGAGGAAGGUAAAAACGACGUCACCUCAUCAUGGCCCUUACGUGUAAAAACUACACACGUGCUACAAUGGCGCAUACAGAGUGCCCGGAACCUGCGAGGGUAAGCGAAUCACUUAAAGUGCGUCGUAGUCCGGAUUGGAGUCUGCCCCUCGACUCCAUGAAGUCGGAAUCGCUAGUAAUCGCGUAUCAGAAUGAAAAAAUGAAUGGGUUCCCGGGCCUUGUACACACCGCCCGUCACACCAUGGGAGUGGGUUGCUCCAGAAGUCCAAUAGUCUAACCUUCGGGAGGACGUUCACCACGGAGUGAUUCAUGACUGGGGUGAAGUCAAAACAAGGUAGCCGUA